rnacentral:rRNA from 1 species
AUGAACGCUGGCGGCGUGCCUAAUACCUGCAAGUCGAGCGAACAGACGAGGAGCUUGCUCCUCUGACGUUAGCGGCGGACGGGUGAGUAACACGUGGAUAACCUACCUAUAAGACUGGGAUAACUUCGGGAAACCGGAGCUAAUACCGGAUAAUAUAUUGAACCGCAUGGUUCCAUAGUGAAAGACGGUUUUGCUGUCACUUAUAGAUGGAUCCGCGCCGCAUUAGCUAGUUGGUAAGGUAACGGCUUACCAAGGCAACGAUGCGUAGCCGACCUGAGAGGGUGAUCGGCCACACUGGAACUGAGACACGGUCCAGACUCCUACGGGAGGCAGCAGUAGGGAAUCUUCCGCAAUGGGCGAAAGCUUGACGGAGCAACGCCGCGUGAGUGAUGAAGGUCUUCGGAUCGUAAAACUCUGUUAUUAGGGAAGAACAAAUGUGUAAGUAACUAUGCACGUCUUGACGGUACCUAAUCAGAAAGCCACGGCUAACUACGUG